GCUUGUUUGUCUCCUAUGCAGAGCGUGAGAAGGAUGUGAUAACUGUGCCUUAUGGGUUGUAGUUUGCAGUACUACCACCUGGUACUAUUUUUUUUUCAUUUUCGUUGCGAGGCUACCGCCCAGGUUCGCCCCUGUGAAGCUCUGCCGUUGCAUGCUAGUACUUUGGAUCCUAUGUCAACUAGAUUGUUGAUUGUUUGUGUGGGCAAUGCAACCAAAGUUUUUGAUAGGUAUUCUAUAUCCUAUCUUUUCAGGGAAAUUGCGAUGGUUACUGGAACAAUCUUCCUUCUAAUGAUCCCAUUUUGUUAACUUAAAACAUAUUUGUUAACUUAAAACAUAUUUCCUAACUAAAUGUUUUUGUGAUUUAAAGGUACCGAGUUGGUGUUUCUAGCUUGGAGAAGCAACAUCAACUUGGGAUACAGAUUCACCAGCAUAUGUACAUGCAUCUCAUAGGGGGAGAGCUCUUGCAUGGAUGACCAUAAUGUCACUCUAGAUGCUUCUCCACAAGAUUUGAUUCUGGAGCCUGACACUGGUGUUGCAGGGAUGUUUUGAUUUUUAUUGAUAAUGCAUCUGGAACUACCUCAACUUGUCACUCGUUGGAAGCGAACCUCUUGAUAGUUAAUGAUGUCGGGUGCAUGUAUAGAUAGCAUGUUGUAACAAGUUUAUUUGAUACUCGGCGUGACCAACAAUGCUUGUACAUGUUGGUCACGGUGUUCUAGUUGCAACGACUAACUUGUCAUAGCUUAUUUUUUGAAUUUGGCCUUUAGUUUACUACAUAUCUGAUGUAUGUGUUCAUUGAUUAUGAAUCUGAUGUGGUGUAUGAUGAAUUUUGGAUGUGAUUUACAAAUUUGAAAUUUUGGUCUGA